rnacentral:rRNA from 1 species
GUCGUGGCUUUGGGUUUUGCCAGCUGGCGUGAUCUCCUCUAUGAGUAAUCAUGUGAGGUGCCAGAUCUAUGGCGUUUCCCUAAUGUAUCCGGAUGCACCCUUGUCUUGGCAGAAAGCCGUGGUGAGGUGCAGUGGCGGAAUCGUGGUUUAAUAAUCGGGUUGGUACUCAGUUGUCAGUGUGUUUGGCGAUCCCCUAGUCGGCACACUUAUGAUUUCUGGGAUAAUUCCAUACCAGGCACGUUCCGUCACUGUCACUUUGUCAUUGGUUUGAUGCUGAACUUGGUCAUGUGUCUGAUGCUAUUUUCAUAUAGCGACGGUACCCUUCGUGGUCUGUCUUCCUGACCUCGGUUCAGACGUGAUUACCCGCUGAACUUAAGCAUAUCACUAAGCGGA